rnacentral:lncRNA from 1 species
CUCCUUCUGGAGCAGCCUGGCUCCUGCUGCUCCCUGACAGCCGGUACUCUGUAAGGCAAGAUGAUCACGGUGAUGUGCCUUUUCUAGUGCUUCCAGUAGCAUUCAAAAUGCUACCAGGACGUGGGGGCCUGGGUGAGAAUAGGGGCCAGCAAAUCAUGGGGGCAGUGGCCCAGGACGUACAGGAAGGAGUGGUGGAAGAAGUGGAGACCAACUUCAGUGCCACAACUGCAAAAGGACUUCAGGGUGCCUUACACCUCAGCUAUGUGCUUAAGGAUGUAACUUAGAUCAACUAGGAGUCAGGAGGCCUUUUCACAAAAGAGGAAAUGACCACAAAAGACUGGUACUGGAAGAUGAAAGGAGGGAGGGAGGAAUGAAGUACUUGGCAAAGAGAGAAAAAAGCCAGCAGCUGCUACAGCCUGAAUAAAAAAGCGAGUUUGUUUGUUUCCCUAUUGUUC